UACGUAGGUGGCAAGCGUUGUCCGGAAUUAUUGGGCGUAAAGCGCGCGCAGGCGGCCUCGUAAGUCUGAGGUGAAAUCCCCCAGCUCAACCGGGGAAGGCCAUUGGAAACUGGUAGGCUUGAGUAUAGGAGGGAAGAGUGGAAUUCCACGUGUAGCGGUGAAAUGCGUAGAGAUGUGGAGGAACACCAGUGGCGAAUGCGACUCUUUGGCCUAUAACUGACGCUGAGGCGCGAAAGCGUGGGGAGCAAACAGG
rnacentral:misc_RNA from 1 species